GGAAGCUGUUUUCCAUUUCGGUUUCCAUACCCUUAGAAGGAAUAGUGCUGAAGGGGUAGGAGUGUAGGAUUUGGAGUCAGAAGUCCUGGGUUCUUGGCCUCACUCUGCCCGUUAUUAGCCAUAUGAGCCUGAGCAAAUCCUUUAAAAUGGCUUGAGCCUCAGUUGUUUGUUAAUCUAUGAAAUGGGGAUGUUAAUAUCUCCCUUAUUUAUCUCACUUAUCCAUUUAAAACUAGAGUUUCAUAGAGUGGGUCUUGUUGCAGGGACUUCAUUGUUUUUCUCUUUUGUGAAAGGGGCCAUUAGACUAUGAACUCCACCAGGGCAGGAACCUUUGUGUUUCCCCUUCCUCUUAGCCACACACCCAUAGCGUCAGGGUCUCCCAUAUGAAAUUGUGUUCAUGGGUGAGGGCUGUCUCUAUGGUGCCAAAGCCACAGCUUGACCUUGCCUAACUUUGUGACUGAGAUGAAGCAGCAAGCAAGCUUAUCAAGGGGAAGAUAACAUAAAUCUAAAAGGAAGGUAUAAUACCUGAAGAUCACAGAAUCAAGAUUAAAAAUUAUCUUGACAGGCUGUGGCCCUGAGUUGGAAACAUUAAGAUGAAACUUAACUGAGAUAAGAAAAGGUUCCUCAUUUAAGUUUAAUAUUUAAGAAUAAUAGCUAACAUUUAUUGAGCAUUUAUUUGGUAGGCAUCCUGAUACAUACAUGUGUUAUGUAAUUUUAUGACAGUUGGAUGAGGUAGAUACCAUUAAUUAAAGAUGGGGAAGUUAAAGUAAGGGUCCAGGAUUGCUUAGCCAUUAAGUGGUGAAACCAGGAUUCCAACACCUGAGGGUUCCAAAGGACACACUCAACUGCCAUGGCUCACAAAAUUAUGCCCUCACCCCUCAAGAUGUCCAUGUCCUAAUCCCCAGAACCUGUAAAUGUGUAACCUUCAUGGCAAAAGGGACUUUGCAGGUGUGAGUAAAUUAAUUGACUUUCAGAUAGGGAAAUUAUCGUGGAUUAUCCAGGUGAGCCCAGUCUAAUCACAUGAGUCCUUAAAAGUGAAAAACUUUCCUAUCUGCAGUGAGAGAGGAAAUAGGAGGAGAAGGAGAGAUUCUAAUUAUGAGAAUUCGACCUGCUGUUGCUGGCUUUGAAGAUGGAGGAAGGAGGCCAUGAGUCCAGGAAUGUGGGUGACCUCUAAAAGCUGGAAACAGCCAUCAGCCGACAACCAGCAAGGAAAUAAGGAUCUCAGUGCUACCAUUGCUGCAAACUGAAUUCUGCCAACAGCCCAAGUGAGCAAGGACACAGAUUCCCCCCUAGAACCUCCAGAAAGGAACAUACCCUGCUGACACCUUUAUUUUAGCCCAGUGAGACCAAGUAUCUAUUCUUCUAGAUCAAUUUAAGGAUCAACUUGUUAAGUUUAAAAAGAAAAUAGCCCUGAGAGUGACAUCAGCAUCAUGGCAGAGUGAACUUUAUCAGUAAUCUUCCCCCUCCAACAUACAACAAAAAAAAACAUCUAUACUCCAACAGAGGACAUCCAGACAUAACACAAAUAACGGAGAGACACAUGCAGCCAUACAAUGGAGGGCGGAGAAGCUGGAGCCCCCCUUGGAGGAGGUGGAAUGGGGUAAGAGGAAACUUGACUCUCUCCGCUAAAGACUGCAAUCUGGGACUGCCAGACGCCUCUGAGAGGGAAGGAACUGGGGAGGGG
ensembl:lncRNA